rnacentral:lncRNA from 1 species
CGACAUUAUUAGGUUCAAAGACACUCCACAAUUUAAGCUAAAACUGGAUAAAGAGUAGAGUAACCUGCGUGCUGGAGGAUUAGACUUUAGAGCAGAAGGAAAGACUUUUGCUGAAGCAGCUGCUUCAGAUCACUGACUUGUUAAAGAUGUGUAACGAUUACUGCAGGAAAUUCCUCAUCAAAAUCUGCCUGUUUUGUUUCAGACUAAAACUCAUGAAAUCUGCAACUUUUCUUUCAAGCAGCUCCUCAGGCAAAAACAGAAAAUGUCAAGACUGAAGAAGAAGAUGUGCCGAGACUCAUGACCAGAAGGUUUUCAAGCCGGAAGGCAGAAAAAGAUCCCUUUGUGGUUGAAGAAGCAGAAUAAUUUGCUCAUGUCUCAGCCUUGAGAGCUUUGGGUUUGUUUCUGAAUUCAAGAGGCUCUAACAAACCACAAAAUAAGCAAACAAAAAUAAAAAACAGUAAGCUUUGUUUGCUCUUAUUUUG